rnacentral:rRNA from 1 species
GAUGAACGCUGGCGGCGUGCCUAAUACAUGCAAGUCGAGCGAACAGACGAGGAGCUUGCUCCUCUGACGUUAGCGGCGGACGGGUGAGUAACACGUGGAUAACCUACCUAUAAGACUGGGAUAACUUCGGGAAACCGGAGCUAAUACCGGAUAAUAUAUUGAACCGCAUGGUUCAAUAGUGAAAGACGGUUUUGCUGUCACUUAUAGAUGGAUCCGCGUCGCAUUAGCUAGUUGGUAAGGUAACGGCUUAACAAGGCAACGAUGCGUAGCCGACCUGAGAGGGUGAUCGGCCAGACUGGAACUGAGACACGGCCCAGACUCCUACGGGAGGCAGCAGUAGGGAAUCUUACGCAAUGGGCGAAAGCCUGACGGAGCAACGCCGCGUGAGUGAUGAAGGUCUUCGGAUCGUAAAACUCUGUUAUUAGGGAAGAACAAAUGUGUAAGUAACUAUGCACGUCUUGACGGUACCUAAUCAGAAAGCCACGGCUAACUACGUG